rnacentral:tRNA from 1 species
GGUAAAAUGGCUGAGCUUAAGCGAUAAAUUGUAAAUUUAUUAACAAGAUUAAAUCUUUUUUAUCA